rnacentral:rRNA from 1 species
GACGAACGCUGGCGGCGUGCUUAACACAUGCAAAUCGAACGGUAAGGCCCUUCGGGGUACACGAGUGGCGAACGGGUGAGUAACACGUGGGUGAUCUGCCCUGCACUUCGGGAUAAGCCUGGGAAACUGGGUCUAAUACCGGAUAGGACCACUGCCUGCAUGGGUGGUGGUGGAAAGCUUUUGCGGUGUGGGAUGGGCCCGCGGCCUAUCAGCUGGUUGGUGGGGUGAUGGCCUACCAAGGCGACGACGGGUAGCCGGCCUGAGAGGGUGACCGGCCACACUGGGACUGAGAUACGGCCCAGACUCCUACGGGAGGCAGCAGUGGGGAAUAUUGCACAAUGGGCGCAAGCCUGAUGCAGCGACGCCGCGUGAGGGAUGACGGCCUUCGGGUUGUAAACCUCUUUCAGCACCGACGAAGCGCAAGUGACGGUAGGUGCAGAAGAAGGACCGGCCAACUACGUGCCAGCCGCCGCCGUAAAAC